GUAAGGAAUAUUGGACAAUGGGGGAAACCCUGAUCCAGCCAUGCCGCGUGAGUGAAGAAGGCCUUCGGGUUGUAAAGCUCUUUCAGAUGUGAAGAUGAUGACGGUAACAUCAGAAGAAGCUCCGGCUAACUUCGUGCCAGCAGCCGCGGUAAUACGAAGGGAGCGAGCGUUGUUCGGAAUCACUGGGCGUAAAGAGUGCGUAGGCGGUUAUACAAGUCAGGAGUGAAAUCCCAGGGCUCAACCCUGGAAUUGCUUUUGAAACUGUAUAGCUAGAGUCCCGGAGGGGUUAAUGGAAUUCCGAGUGUAGAGGUGAAAUUCGCAGAUAUUCGGAGGAACACCAGUGGCGAAGGCGAUUAACUGGACGGGCACUGACGCUGAGGCACGAAAGCGUGGGGAUCAAACAGGAUUAGAAACCCGAGUAGUCC
rnacentral:rRNA from 1 species